AAAAAAGGAGUGCGAGAAGGAGACAAACAUUAAAAUGAAUGCUACCUAUAUUGCUACCGAUAUCUAAUCAAAGGACGUUUUGAUACCAAUAUUGAUACAGUAGAAUUUGGAGGGAAUAAUUGUAGUAGAGUAGGGUAAAGAAAGAAACUGGAAGCAUGUGAUGAGUAAGCUUAUGAUAUGAACGGCAAUAAUUUCACAGUUCCAGUGACACUAAUAAGAAGCUAUAUAUUAAGUUGCUAGUAGGGUGCCGUCUAUAGAGGCUAGAUAUGAUAGAACCUAUGAGAGUUUGACAGUUGGAAGAGAGAUGGUUUUGAUUUGGAUUAUGACCACCUUAAUCGCAAUAAAUUUGUUAAGCAGUCACGCCAAAGAGAUCUGUUAGGAAACGGCCAUGGACGCCGCCCAGAUCCAUGACCCUGGCUCGGAACUUUCGAAACUGCAGCGCGUGCGUACGGCGCCAAGGCUAAGACCAAUUUUCCAUCUUAUUUAUGAAUUUAUAAGCAUUCGUAAACUACUUUUAAUUUCCUAUAGGUUGAGGACUUGAGGUAAUGCGUUCUUUUUAAUCAAUCAUGAUGCAAGUUCAAUUAUUAAAUUGAGAUUGUUGCUAGGAAAGCUCAACCUUUAUUGAGAGGAAGUCGUGGGCACCGAUUAGGACAAGAAAUUUGUGCCAAAUUACUCCAACAGCAGCCAUUUACGAGAUGGUUGAGAUGAAUCAAUAUUUCUCUCUUCUUUUCUCAGUGGGAAAAUACUCAAAAAGAAGGUUGGUUGAGAUGCUGAAUUACUUGAGUGUUUGGUAUGGCUGCUGGUUUGAAGAGAGAUUCAAUUGUAAUUCUAUGCUUUGAUGGUGAAGCUCUUCUUGAGUUUGUUAAUGGUCCAAGUUAUGAAGCUGAAAUGGCAUCCAUAUUCUCUCAGAUUGGUUCCCCUUAACAAUUGUUUUAAUUGUCUAUCAUUUUU